CGCUGAACUUAAGCAUAUUAAUAAGCGGAGGAAAAGAAACUAACAAGGAUUCCCCUAGUAACGGCGAGUGAAGCGGGAUGAGCUCAAGCUUAAAAUCUCUGUGCAAGUUUUGCAUGGCGAAUUGUAGUCUAUAGAGGCGAUGUCAGUGCAGCUAUUCGGGGUAAGUUCCUUGGAAGAGGACAGCAUCGAGGGUGAUACUCCCGUUUGUACCUGAGUAGCUUGCGCGUACGACACGUUUUCUUCGAGUCGCGUUGUUUGGGACUGCAGCGCAAAGUAGGUGGUAAAUUCCAUCUAAAGCUAAAUAUUGGUGCGAGACCGAUAGCGAACAAGUACCGUGAGGGAAAGAUGAAAAGAACUUUGAAAAGAGAGUUAAAGAGUACCUGAAACUGCUGAAAGGGAAGCGAAUCGUAUCCAGUGUCUAUAAUCCGUGGCAUAUUUCAUUGGCGAGUGUGUGCGUGCGGCGCGUAAGAAGUAGCUUGCUGCUCUUUGUGUUGUUCUGCGCUUGCUUGCUGGUGCCCUGUGUCGUGGUGGGACGUCAGAGUCAGUUCGUAUGCUGCGGGAAAUGGCUAUCGAGGAGGUAGGUUAGGAGCUUGCUCUUGGCUGUUAUAUCUUGGUAUGCUAGUGGUCGUGGUUGGGACUGAGGUGCCUACAACGUGCUUUAAAGUCUUGCGGUGUCUUAUUUGGUUAACUGUUUGGAUAGCUUGCUAUGCCUAUGGCCUAAUCGAGUGAUGGAUACUGUAGGUAACUUUUGCCGUUCGGGACUUUGACGAAAUGGAGCGAUUCGGCCCGUCUUGAAACACGGACCAAGGAGUCUAACAUGUGUGCAAGUGUUAGGGUGUGGAAACCCCAGCGCGAAAUGAAAGUAAAGGGUAGCGUACGCUGCCUGAGGUAGGAAACCUUUGUUCUCAGAGGUGGCACUAUCGACCGAUCAUGAACCUUCGUGGUGAAAGAUUUGAGUAUGAGCACAUAUGUUGGUACCCGAAAGAUGGUGAACUAUGCCUGAGUAGGGUGAAGCCAGGGGAAACUCUGGUGGAAGCUCGUAGCGAUUCUGACGUGCAAAUCGAUCGUCAAACUUGGGUAUAGGGGCGAAAGACUAAUCGAACCAUCUAGUAGCUGGUUCCCUCCGAAAUUUCCCUCAGGAUAGCAGCAACUUAUUUACGAUAGUUUUAUGAGGUAAAGCGAAUGAUUAGAGGACUGGGGGAAGAAACUUCCUUCGCCUAUUCUCAAACUUUAAAUCUGUAAGACCUGCAGGUUUCUUAAUUGAACUUGUGGAUGUGAAUAUCAAGUUGCUAGUGGGCCAUACCGGGUAAGCUGGUCUGGCG
rnacentral:rRNA from 3 species